rnacentral:rRNA from 1 species
AGCGAACGCUGGCGGCAGGCUUAACACAUGCAAGUCGAGGGGAGCGGCAGACGGGUUAGUAACGCGUGGGAACGUACCUUUUGGUUCGUACCAACACAGGGAAACUUGUGCUCAUACCGGAUACCGAAAUAUCGGCCCGCGUCUGAUUAUCUAGUUGGUAGGCUAAUGGCCUACCAAGGUGACGAUCAGUAGCUGGUCUGAGAGGAUGAUCAGCCACAUUGGGACUGCGACACGGCCCAAAAUAUUACGGGAGGCAGCAGUGGGGAAUAUUGGACUAUGGGGGCAACCAUGAUCCACCCAUGCCGGGUGAGUGAUGAAGGCCGUAGGGUGGUAAAUGUCUUUUGUGCGGGAAGCGGUACCGAAAGAAUAAGCACCGGCUAACUCCGUGCCAGCAGCCGCGGUAAUAC